CGGCAUGCCUUACACAUGCAAGUCGAACGGCAGCACGGAGCUUGCUCUGGUGGCGAGUGGCGAACGGGUGAGUAAUAUAUCGGAACGUACCCUAGAGUGGGGGAUAACGUAGCGAAAGUUACGCUAAUACCGCAUACGAUCUAAGGAUGAAAGUGGGGGAUCGCAAGACCUCAUGCUCGUGGAGCGGCCGAUAUCUGAUUAGCUAGUUGGUAGGGUAAAAGCCUACCAAGGCAUCGAUCAGUAGCUGGUCUGAGAGGACGACCAGCCACACUGGAACUGAGACACGGUCCAGACUCCUACGGGAGGCAGCAGUGGGGAAUUUUGGACAAUGGGCGAAAGCCUGAUCCAGCAAUGCCGCGUGAGUGAAGAAGGCCUUCGGGUUGUAAAGCUCUUUUGUCAGGGAAGAAACGGUGAAGCUAAUAUCUUUUGCUAAUGACGGUACCUGAAGAAUAAGCACCGGCUAACUACGUGCCAGCAGCCGCGGUAAUACGUAGGGUGCAAGCGUUAAUCGGAAUUACUGGGCGUAAAGCGUGCGCAGGCGGUUUUGUAAGUCUGAUGUGAAAUCCCCGGGCUCAACCUGGGAAUUGCAUUGGAGACUGCAAGGCUAGAAUCUGGCAGAGGGGGGUAGAAUUCCACGUGUAGCAGUGAAAUGCGUAGAUAUGUGGAGGAACACCGAUGGCGAAGGCAGCCCCCUGGGUCAAGAUUGACGCUCAUGCACGAAAGCGUGGGGAGCAAACA
rnacentral:rRNA from 1 species